GAGUUUGAUCCUGGCUCAGGACGAACGCUGGCGGCGCGCCUAACACAUGCAAGUCGAACGAGCGAGAGAGAGCUUGCUUUCUCGAGCGAGUGGCGAACGGGUGAGUAACGCGUGAGGAACCUGCCUCAAAGAGGGGGACAACAGUUGGAAACGACUGCUAAUACCGCAUAAGCCCACAGCUCGGCAUCGAGCAGAGGGAAAAGGAGCAAUCCGCUUUGAGAUGGCCUCGCGUCCGAUUAGCUAGUUGGUGAGGUAAUGGCCCACCAAGGCGACGAUCGGUAGCCGGACUGAGAGGUUGAACGGCCACAUUGGGACUGAGACACGGCCCAGACUCCUACGGGAGGCAGCAGUGGGGAAUAUUGCACAAUGGGGGAAACCCUGAUGCAGCGACGCCGCGUGGAGGAAGAAGGUCUUCGGAUUGUAAACUCCUGUUGUUGAGGAAGAUAAUGACGGUACUCAACAAGGAAGUGACGGCUAACUACGUGCCAGCAGCCGCGGUAAAACGUAGGUCACAAGCGUUGUCCGGAAUUACUGGGUGUAAAGGGAGCGCAGGCGGGAAGACAAGUUGGAAGUGAAAUCUAUGGGCUCAACCCAUAAACUGCUUUCAAAACUGUUUUUCUUGAGUAGUGCAGAGGUAGGCGGAAUUCCCGGUGUAGCGGUGGAAUGCGUAGAUAUCGGGAGGAGCACCAGUGGCGAAGGCGGCCUACUGGGCACCAACUGACGCUGAGGCUCGAAAGUGUGGGUAGCAAACAGGAUUAGAUACCUGGUAGUCCACACCGUAAACGAUGAUUACUAGGUGUUGGAGGAUUGACCCCUUCAGUGCCGCAGUUAACACAAUAAGUAAUCCACCUGGGGAGUACGACCGCAAGGUUGAAACUCAGAGGAAUUGACGGGGGCCCGCACAAGCAGUGGAGUAUGUGGUUUAAUUCGACGCAACGCGAAGAACCUUACCAAGUCUUGACAUCCCUUGACGAUGCUGGAAACAGUAUUUCUCUUCGGAGCAAGGAGACAGGUGGUGCAUGGUUGUCGUCAGCUCGUGUCGUGAGAUGUUGGGUUAAGUCCCGCAACGAGCGCAACCCUUACUGUCAGUUACUACGCAAGAGGACUCUGGCAGGACUGCCGUUGACAAAACGGAGGAAGGUGGGGAUGACGUCAAAUCAUCAUGCCCUUUAUGACUUGGGCUACACACGUACUACAAUGGCGUUAAACAAAGAGAAGCAAGACCGCGAGGUGGAGCAAAACUCAGAAACAACGUCCCAGUUCGGACUGCAGGCUGCAACUCGCCUGCACGAAGUCGGAAUUGCUAGUAAUCGUGGAUCAGCAUGCCACGGUGAAUACGUUCCCGGGCCUUGUACACACCGCCCGUC
rnacentral:rRNA from 1 species